AGUGAACGCUGGCGGUAGGCCUAACACAUGCAAGUCGAACGGCAGCACAGUAAGAGCUUGCUCUUACGGGUGGCGAGUGGCGGACGGGUGAGGAAUACAUCGGAAUCUACUUUUUCGUGGGGGAUAACGUAGGGAAACUUACGCUAAUACCGCAUACGACCUACGGGUGAAAGCAGGGGAUCUUCGGACCUUGCGCGAUUGAAUGAGCCGAUGUCGGAUUAGCUAGUUGGCGGGGUAAAGGCCCACCAAGGCGACGAUCCGUAGCUGGUCUGAGAGGAUGAUCAGCCACACUGGAACUGAGACACGGUCCAGACUCCUACGGGAGGCAGCAGUGGGGAAUACUGGACAAUGGGCGCAAGCCUGAUCCAGCCAUACCGCGUGGGUGAAGAAGGCCUUCGGGUUGUAAAGCCCUUUUGUUGGGAAAGAAAAGCAGCAGGUUAAUACCCCGCUGUUCUGACGGUACCCAAAGAAUAAGCACCGGCUAACUGCGU
rnacentral:rRNA from 1 species